CAGUCGCCGCGGGAAUACGAAGGGUGCAAGCGUUAAUCGGAAUUACUGGGCGUAAAGCGUGCGUAGGCGGUUUGUUAAGUCUGCUGUGAAAUCCCCGGGCUCAACCUGGGAAUGGCAGUGGAUACUGGCAAGCUAGAGUGUGUCAGAGGAUGGUGGAAUUCCCGGUGUGGCGGUGAAAUGCGUAGAGAUCGGGAGGAACAUCAGUGGCGAAGGCGGCCAUCUGGGACAACACUGACGCUGAGGCACGAAAGCGUGGGGAGCAAACAGGAUUAGAUACCCGCGUAGUCCCUGUCUCUUAUCC
rnacentral:rRNA from 1 species